rnacentral:rRNA from 1 species
GAGUUUGAUCCUGGCUCAGAUUGAACGCUGGCGGCAGGCUUAACACAUGCAAGUCGAGCGGUAACAGAAAGUAGCUUGCUACUUUGCUGACGAGCGGCGGACGGGUGAGUAAUGCCUAGGAAUCUGCCUAGUAGUGGGGGAUAACUUGCCGAAAGGUAAGCUAAUACCGCAUACGUCCUACGGGAGAAAGCAGGGGACCUUCGGGCCUUGCGCUAUUAGAUGAGCCUAGGUCGGAUUAGUUAGUUGGUGAGGUAAUGGCUCACCAAGACCGCGAUCCGUAACUGGUCUGAGAGGAUGAUCAGUCACACUGGAACUGAGACACGGUCCAGACUCCUACGGGAGGCAGCAGUGGGGAAUAUUGGACAAUGGGGGGAACCCUGAUCCAGCCAUGCCGCGUGUGUGAAGAAGGUCUUAGGAUUGUAAAGCACUUUAAGUUGGGAGGAAGGGCAGUUAACUAAUAUUUGACUGUUUUGACGUUACCGACAGAAUAAGCACCGGCUAACUUCGUGCCAGCAGCCGCGGUAAA